AUUGAACGCUGGCGGAAUGCUUUACACAUGCAAGUCGAACGGCAGCACGGGGCAACCUGGUGGCGAGUGGCGAACGGGUGAGUAAUACAUCGGAACGUGCCCAAUCGUGGGGGAUAACGUAGCGAAAGUUACGCUAAUACCGCAUACGAUCUACGGAUGAAAGCGGGGGAUCGCAAGACCUCGCGCGAAUGGAGCGGCCGAUGUCAGAUUAGGUAGUUGGUGGGGUAAAGGCUCACCAAGCCAACGAUCUGUAGCUGGUCUGAGAGGACGACCAGCCACACUGGAACUGAGACACGGUCCAGACUCCUACGGGAGGCAGCAGUGGGGAAUUUUGGACAAUGGGCGCAAGCCUGAUCCAGCCAUUCCGCGUGCAGGAUGAAAGGCCUUCGGGUUGUAAACUGCUUUUGUACGGAACGAAACGGACGAGCUCUAAUACAGUUUGCUAAUGACGGUACCGUAAGAAUAAGACACCGGCUAACUACGUAGCCAGCAGCCGCGGUAAU
rnacentral:rRNA from 1 species